rnacentral:tRNA from 1 species
GCACCUGUGGCUCAGUGGCUAGGGCGCCAGUCACAUACACUGGCGCUGGCAGGUUCGAACCCAGCCCGGUCCU